AAGAAGAGCCAUGUAAAGGCUUUCCCCUCUUUUUCACUCUCUCUCUCUCUCUUUCUCUUUUCCUAGAUCCAAUCAAACCUCUUCUCUCUCGUUUCAAAUUUAUUUCACUCAGUUUUCAGAGGCUUCUCCUUCUCCAUUUAUUGGCUCCCCCUCUUUCUCUCUCAACGAGAGAACCUCCAUUGAAGUUUCCUUGAAGAUCUAAAAUAGGGUUCAACAAAAAGAAAUAAGGGUUCAAGGUGGAGGAGGAGCAUGCAAGCCUAGACCAAGUUGGUGCAUACCGAAAUUUCUAGAAACAAGAGGUAAGUGUUCUAGUGUUUUGAAAAUAUCGAGUAGUGUUCAUUUCUCCUCCAGGGUAUAAGAUAUAAUCUGACUUAUGGUGUGUUAUUGAGGUGCUUGAGGUCUUACCAAUGUGUUAGAAUGCCCAAAAACUUGAAGAGAAAAUCCCCAAAGUAUAGACAACCAAAGAGGUAAAAAGUUUGUGAUUUUCUUGGCUAGUUUGUGUUUCUAAGUUUUGAUAUGUUAGUGAGGGUUUGAGUGUUUGGUUUUGUUUUUUCUAUUUUAAGGUUAUUAUGGAUGUUAUUUGUGAUUCAUGUUGCAUGCUUGAGUAGGAUAGUGGAUAGGUAGUAAAGGAAUCCAAAGUCCUCCUUGUUGUUAGGCUUGGUUUGACAGAUUUGGGGGUUGGACUUCCAACGAGUAACCCAUCAAAAGUUGUUUGUUUUAUGUGUAUUAUUUACAAAUUCUUACUUUUUAGUUUGUGUAAAUGAUUUUAUACCUAUAAAACGUUUAAAAGUACCAUAUUUUGACUAAGUUA